rnacentral:rRNA from 1 species
GCACCACAAGAGCGUGGAGUAUGUGGCUUAAUUUGACUCAACGCGGAAAAGCUUAUCUGGUCCGGACGCAGUGAGGAUUGACAGACAGUUUCAGGAGUGGUUCUUGGUAAACAAUUGAGAGAGUUGAAGUUCUUUCAUGAUCUUGUGAGAGGUGGUGCAUGGCCGUUCUUAGUUCGUGUAGUGAUAUGUCUGCCUAAUCGCGUCACGAUAACCUAUUGGUCGACAACCCAAUUAUCACAACUGCAGCAUAACUCCCCUUGGGUGGGCGAGGCUCUGUGUAGGAUAGACCUCUGAACAGUACGCAACGAACGCGAUCGUAAUCCCUUGUUGAGUGGCCAUCCUGUAAGCUGCUGGAUUAGGAACCCAGUGGUAUUAUCUCACCACAGAUUUUCUGGUUGUAAUGGGCCAGUUUUGAAACUCGGGGAACAUCUGUGACUUUCUUUCUUAACGCA